ACUUAUUCAAAAUCCACACUCCAGAUGUCCGACCAUGUCUUCGUGGAGACUAUAUAUAUAUAAAAAAACGCAAAAGCAAUUAAGCAAAAAUAUACCUAUAUAUUUACAACUCUAGGAAAUGAUUUUAACAUGAAAGUAUACGAGGAAUAUUGAGCCAGGGCAUCAUGCCAAGAAUGGUAACAGUGCAGCAUGAUUUCAAGGCAACAUUCUUGAGAGUCCAUUCAAGAGGUUCAAUGGAGAAUUCUUUUAAUGCAUCCAUAACUAUAAGCACAUGUUUAGGAACAUCUGAUGACCCCAUGAGUGUCAGUUGAAAGUUGAAAUGUAUUUUCUUCCCCAAGUUGUUCUCUUCUAUAUUAGUAGCCAUGGCCUCCAUUUUAAUUAUUUCUUUUCUUUUUUUUUUUUUGAAGGAGAACGGAAGGGAUUUGCUCAAGGGCUUUCAGAUAGUUAUAUAGAAGUUUUCAGGAGCUGAAGAAGAGGAAGAAUGAAACAGGAAUAUAAUUUGUUCGAUGUUAACAAGAAAUGCUUUAUAAAACCUAUGAUGUAAAAGAACAUCAUGCAAAGAAGCCAAAUAAGUUGCCUGGUUUGAGGUGAUCUCCUUUCUCUUUGUUUAUUGGAGAUUCUUGGAUCCCAACUCUUUCUUACGACAAGCUCAAAAAUAACUCUGAACUAAGCACGUAUUUUACUCCUAAAACAAAUCUAACACAUAGGAAAGCUCCAUUGGUUUUCUGCAUUCUAAAGAGGUUACAUCUUUUUUAUUAGUGGUUUCUUUUGCACAACCAGUAAUUUGAAGUUACAAUUAUUUUUUGUCUCAAAAUUCUAAAACUUGAUUAUUCAAAUAUUCAAGUUUUAGAUAUUAACCACAAGUAGGCAUUCUGGUUUUGAAAGCGCGAGAUUUGGACAACUUUAAGUUUUAAAAAAACUCCUAACUUUACUCAAAGACUAAUUAGAUAUUGAGAAUUUGUGUCAACUAGUUUGGAAUUAAUUUAUGAAAUUUAACAAAAUUUAUGAAUGAAUAAAUUAGUGGCACUUAUGUAGUACAGAAAUUAAAAGUUCCUACAAAAUCUCGCUAGGUAUAUAAGAGAUUAUAAUUCUCAACUGUGAGAAUAUAACAUAAAACUCUUACUCUGCACUAUACAGUGGAACUCGGAAAUAUAAACAACAAAAUAACAGCUGCUAUUAUCUAAAAACUACCCCUCAUGUUUGUUUGAGGAUACAGAUCAAGACCCUAUUCCAUUGGUUCAGAUUUUCCAGUUAAAAAUUUCAUGAGAUACCAAAAUUAUUAGUGUUAUUGCCAAAUGUAA
rnacentral:lncRNA from 1 species